AUUGAACGCUGGCGGCAGGCCUAACACAUGCAAGUCGAGCGGCAGAGAGGAGCUUGCUUCUCUUGAGAGCGGCGGACGGGUGAGUAAUGCCUAGGAAUCUGCCUGGUAGUGGGGGAUAACGUUCGGAAACGGACGCUAAUACCGCAUACGUCAUACGGGAGAAAGUGGGGGAUCUUCGGACCUCACGCUAUCAGAUGAGGCUAGGUCGGAUUAGCUAGUUGGUGAGGUAAAGGCUCACCAAGGCGACGAUCCGUAACUGGUCUGAGAGGAUGAUCAGUCACACUGGAACUGAGACACGGUCCAGACUCCUACGGGAGGCAGCAGUGGGGAAUAUUGGACAAUGGGCGCAAGCCUGAUCCAGCCAUGUCGCGUGUGUGAAGAAGGUCUUCGGAUUGUAAAGCACUUUAAGUUGGGAGGAAGGUCAGUAGCUUAAUACGUUGCUGAUUUGACGUUACCGACAGAAUAAGCACCGGCUAACUCUGUGCCAGCAGCCGCCGUAACAC
rnacentral:rRNA from 1 species